AGUUUGAUCCUGGCUCAGGAUGAACGCUAGCUACAGGCUUAACACAUGCAAGUCGAGGGGAAACGAUAGAGAAAGCUUGCUUUUUCUAGGCGUCGACCGGCGCACGGGUGAGUAACGCGUAUCCAACCUGCCCACCACUUGGGGAUAACCUUGCGAAAGUAAGACUAAUACCCAAUGAUAUCUCUAGAAGACAUCUGAAAGAGAUUAAAGAUUUAUCGGUGAUGGAUGGGGAUGCGUCUGAUUAGCUUGUUGGCGGGGUAACGGCCCACCAAGGCGACGAUCAGUAGGGGUUCUGAGAGGAAGGUCCCCCACAUUGGAACUGAGACACGGUCCAAACUCCUACGGGAGGCAGCAGUGAGGAAUAUUGGUCAAUGGGCGAGAGCCUGAACCAGCCAAGUAGCGUGCAGGAUGACGGCCCUAUGGGUUGUAAACUGCUUUUAUAAGGGAAUAAAGUGAGAGUCGUGACUCUUUUUGCAUGUACCUUAUGAAUAAGAACCGGCUAAUUCCGUGCCAGCAGCCGCGGUAAUACGGAAGGUCCGGGCGUUAUCCGGAUUUAUUGGGUUUAAAGGGAGCGUAGGCCGGAGAUUAAGCGUGUUGUGAAAUGUAGAUGCUCAACGUCUGCACUGCAGCGCGAACUGGUUUCCUUGAGUACGCACAAAGUGGGCGGAAUUCGUGGUGUAGCGGUGAAAUGCUUAGAUAUCACGAAGAACUCCGAUUGCGAAGGCAGCUCACUGGAGCGCAACUGACGCUGAAGCUCGAAAGUGCGGGUAUCGAACAGGAUUAGAUACCCUGGUAGUCCGCACGGUAAACGAUGGAUGCCCGCUGUUGGUCUGAAUAGGUCAGCGGCCAAGCGAAAGCAUUAAGCAUCCCACCUGGGGAGUACGCCGGCAACGGUGAAACUCAAAGGAAUUGACGG
rnacentral:rRNA from 1 species